rnacentral:rRNA from 1 species
AGAGCGAACGCUGGCGGCAGGCCUAAUACAUGCAAGUCGAGCGGUCCCUUCGGGGGCAGCGGCGGACGGGUGAGUAACGCGUGGGAACGUGCCCUUUGGUACGGAACAACUGAGGGAAACUUCAGCUAAUACCGUAUGUGCCCUUCGGGGGAAAGAUUUAUCGCCAUUGGAGCGGCCCGCGUUGGAUUAGGUAGUUGGUGAGGUAAAGGCUCACCAAGGCGACGAUCUGUAGCUGGUUUGAGAGGACGACCAGCCACACUGGGACUGAGACACGGCCCAGACUCCUACGGAGGCAGCAGUGGGGAAUUUGGACAAGUGGGGAAACCCUGAUCCAG